AGAGUUUGAUCAUGGCUCAGAACGAACGCUGGCGGCAGGCUUAACACAUGCAAGUCGAACGGGCCCUUCGGGGUCAGUGGCAGACGGGUGAGUAACGCGUGGGAACGUGCCCUUCAGUUCGGAAUAACCCAGGGAAACUUGGGCUAAUACCGGAUACGUGCGAGAGCAGAAAGAUUUAUCGCUGAAGGAUCGGCCCGCGUCUGAUUAGCUAGUUGGUGGGGUAAUGGCCCACCAAGGCGACGAUCAGUAGCUGGUCUGAGAGGAUGAUCAGCCACAUUGGGACUGAGACACGGCCCAAACUCCUACGGGAGGCAGCAGUGGGGAAUAUUGGACAAUGGGCGCAAGCCUGAUCCAGCCAUGCCGCGUGAGUGAUGAAGGCCUUAGGGUUGUAAAGCUCUUUCAGUGGGGACGAUAAUGACGGCACCCGCAGAAGAAGCCCCGGCUAACUUCGUGCUAGCAGCCGCGGUAAUC
rnacentral:rRNA from 1 species